GGUUUCUAAAUUACUUUUGUCCAUUGCAUUUAUCGGAUAGCGAGAGAUGGAAAGUUAUGUUAUCGUUAUCCAGCUGUCUUUAUAACACCGUAAGGUAAACAAAUGAUGCUUAUUGAUGCUCUAAACAUCUUUAGCCUCUCGUUAGAGCUCUUACACCCCUGAAAACUCAAGCCCACACGUGGCAUAGUAAUAACACAAACGUCCAAAACCUCAAAACCACCUCCAUCCGGGUGCUGAAAAGAUUCUUCGCCAUCUCGCAAAAAAAAGGAACGUUCUACCAUGAGGACACCAAUCCUCGUUUUAUCCAUUAUGCUUGGCCUAGUGCUCGUCGCUCCAUAUGCCGCGUAUCCCAUGCUAAAAGCAAGGAUGUUCAGAAUUCCUCAUCCAAUCAGGUGAUGGAGAUCAGAGAUGCAAUUUCGGGCGGCGUUCUUGAGACCCCUGUUGAUAGCUUUGAGGAGAAGCGCUUGAUAAAUGAAUGAUAUAAUUGUUUGAACAGAGAAAUAAAAUUUACAGUCUUUU